ACCCUCCUGUUUCCUUACCCAUCAUCAGAUCUGACCACUGGCCGGAAUGGUUAUAAAAGGAGGUAAAGUCAAAUAGACCCCGACGGGCAAUGUUUUUGUGGCACACAAGCUAUUUCAAANNNNN
rnacentral:snoRNA from 1 species